UCCCGCGUCUCUAUGGUACGACCGGCCUCAGAGGCGGCAACGGCGGUGGCGGCUGUGGGGAAGGGAGAGUGAGGGGUUCCGACUCUCCUACUGGCCUGAGAGGUUUUGGGCGCGGAGGGUCGCAAUGUCAGAGAAAAAGCAGCCGGUAGACUUGGGUCUCCUGGAGGAGGACGACGAGUUCGAGGAGUUCCCUGCGGAAGACUGGGCUGGUUUAGAUGAAGAUGAAGAUGCACAUGUCUGGGAGGAUAAUUGGGAUGAUGACAAUGUAGAAGAUGACUUCUCCAAUCAGUUACGUGUUUUACCACCAGCCCAUCCUGCCCUCUACACCUCAGCAGAAGACAAAGAUGAUUCAUAGGAAUAAUCUCUGGCCUUAAUAUUAUUCAUGGAUUUUAGAGCUGAACUAGAGAAACAUGGUUAUAAGAUGGAGACCUCAUAACAUCCGGAAGAAGUGUUGAAGCAACUCAAACUUGAACUGUUUACUAAAUUCUAGAACAGAGAACCCAGGAUGGGACACUUAAAAAAUACAUGUUUAUUUCAUUACCUGCUUGGAUUUAUUUUUGUUUUUGCAGCUCAAAAAAUAAAUGUUUUCAUCUAAUAA